GUAAGACCUGUCUGUGUGUGUCUAGGAACAGAACAAGGCUUUUCUCCAUGAGCAGAGUAGGACGGAGUAAGAGGAAGAACUAGACCUGGAGAUUAUGCAAUUCUCCUAAACCUAAACCAUCUAUUUGUCUUCAUGCGUUAAUCUGUGGAUGUUCUCAUCACUUCAGUGUUUCCAUUAACCCAGAUGAGCUUUGUGUUUCUAACGUGUUAUUUAUUAUUCUGAAACAGUAUGGUUGUUUCAUGUCAUAUGUUAACUUAGACUGUGCUGUUUACUGACAGGAUGAAAUAAUAUACAACCAUACUAUGGUUUUAUCAAUGUGCAAAUAACAUGCCGCAGUGGGAGAGCCUAUGUGUUUGUGUGUGUGUGUGUGUGUGUUUGUGUGUUUGUAUGUGUGGAAUUCAGCAUAGUGUGCGCAGGUCUGUGGUUCUGCAGUAGCUGGCGUGUCUGGAAGUGUUUGAGUGCAUGUUGCACAGAAUGUGUGUCACAGAAUGUGCAUUUAUAGUAUAUAUAUAUAUAGUAUAUUUGUGUGUACCAGUGUGUGUGUAACAGUAUGUGUUUGCUAGUGUGUGUAACAGUGUGUAGGUACCUGUGUGUGUACCAGUGUGUGGAACAGUGUGUGUGUACCAGUGUUUGCAACAGUGUGUUAGUACCAGUGUGUAGCAGUGUGUUAGCACCAUUGUGUGUACCAGUGUGUGUUAUAGUGUGUGUAGCAGUGUGUGUAGCAGUGUGCGUAGCAGUGUGUGUAACAGUGUGUGUGUAGCAGCCCGAUAGUACUGCAGUCACGGGCGUGUUGGAGACGUUGGUUCAGAGGGCAUGGGAUCAGAUUCUCACCCCCACCACAAACACCCCACCACAAAC
ensembl:lncRNA